GAGGAAUAUUGGUCAAUGGACGGAAGUCUGAACCAGCCAAGUAGCGUGCAGGAAGACGGCCCUAUGGGUUGUAAACUGCUUUUAUACGAGAAUAAUUUGAUGCACGUGUGCGUUAUUGCAUGUAUCGUAUGAAUAAGGACCGGCUAAUUCCGUGCCAGCAGCCGCGGUAAUACGGAAGGUCCAGGCGUUAUCCGGAUUUAUUGGGUUUAAAGGGAGUGUAGGCGGUUUGUUAAGCGUGUUGUGAAAUUUAGGUGCUCAACAUUUAACUUGCAGCGCGAACUGUCAGACUUGAGUACACGCAACGUAUGCGGAAUUCAUGGUGUAGCGGUGAAAUGCUUAGAUAUCAUGAAGAACUCCGAUUGCGAAGGCAGCAUACGGGAGUGUAACUGACGCUUAAGCUCGAAGGUGCGGGUAUCGAACAGGAUUAGAUACCCUGGUAGUCCGCACAGUAAACGAUGGAUGCCCGCUGUUAGCGCCUGGCGUUAGCGGCUAAGCGAAAGCAUUAGGCAUCCCACCUGGGGAGUACGCUGGCAACGGUG
rnacentral:rRNA from 1 species